rnacentral:rRNA from 1 species
CUCCCGGUUGAUCCUGCCGGACCCGACUGCUAUCAGAGUGGGACUAAGCCAUGCGAGUCAACAUAGCAAUAUGUGGCAUACGGCUCAGUAACACGUAGUCAACAUGCCCAGGGGACGUGGAUAACCUCGGGAAACUGAGGAUAAACCGCGAUAGGUCAUCACUUCUGGAAUGGGUAAUGACUUAAAUCUAUAUGGCCCCUGGAUUGGACUGCGGCCGAUCAGGCUGUUGGUGAGGUAAUGGCCCACCAAACCUGUAACCGGUACGGGCUCUGAGAGGAGGAGCCCGGAGAUGGGCACUGAGACAAGGGCCCAGGCCCUAUGGGGCGCAGCAGGCGCGAAACCUCUGCAAUAGGCGAAAGCUUGACAGGGUUACUCUGAGUGAUUUCCGUUAAGGAGAUCUUUUGGCACCUCUAAAAAUGGUGCAGAAUAAGGGGUGGGCAAGUCUGGUGUCAGCCGCCGCGGUAAUACCAGCACCCCGAGUGGUCGGGACGUUUAUUGGGCCUAAAGCAUCCGUAGCCGGUUCUACAAGUCUUCCGUUAAAUCCACCUGCUUAACAGAUGGGCUGCGGAAGAUACUAUAGAGCUAGGAGGCGGGAGAAGCAAGCGGUACUCGAUGGGUAGGGGUAAAAUCCGUUGAUCCAUUGAAGACCACCAGUGGCGAAGGCGGCUUGCCAGAACGCGCUCGACGGUGAGGGAUGAAAGCUGGGGGAGCAAACCGGAUUAGAUACCCGGGUAGUCCCAGCUGUAAACGAUGCAGACUCGGUGAUGAGUUGGCUUAUUGCUAACUCAGUGCCGCAGGGAAGCCGUUAAGUUUGCCGCCUGGGGAGUACGGUCGCAAGACUGAAACUUAAAGGAAUUGGCGGGGGAGCA